GGUUAAGCUGAUAAGGGCGCAGGGAGGAUGCCUUGGCACUAAGAGCCGAAGAAGGACGUGAUAAGCUGCGAAAAGCUGCGGUUAGGAGCAAAUAUCCGAUAACCCGCAGAUAUCCGAAUGGGGAAACCCGGCAGAGCAAACCUCUGUCAUCCAUACGCCAAUACAUAACGUAUGGAAGGGAACCCGGUGAACUGAAACAUCUAA
rnacentral:ncRNA from 1 species